UAGCUCAACCGGCAGAGCAUGGCGUUAAGGUCGCCAGGGUCCGGGGUUUGAUUCCCACUAAUUACUACCA